CCUACGGGAGGCAGCAGUGAGGAAUAUUGGUCAAUGGCCGGAAGGCUGAACCAGCCAAGUCGCGUGCGGGAAGAAUGUCCUAUGGAUUGUAAACCGCUUUUGUCCGGGAGCAAAGUCCCCUACGUGUGGGUGUUGGAGAGUACCUGAAGAAAAAGCAUCGGCUAACUCCUUGCCAGCAGCCGCGGUAAUACGGAGGAUGCGGGCGUUAUCCGGUUUUAUUGGGUUUAAAGGGGGCGUAGGCGGGUUAUCAAGUCAGCGGGAAAAGCUUGGGGUCCAACCCCAUCCAGCCGUUGAAACUGGUGAGCUUGAGUGGGCGGGAAGCAGGCGGAAUGCGUGGUGUAGCGGUGAAAUGCAUAGAUAUCACGAAGAACCCCGAUUGCGAAGGCAGCAUGCUGGAGCCUGACUGACGCUGAAGCUCGAAAGCGUGGGUAUCGAACAGGAUUAGAUACCCUAGUAGUC
rnacentral:rRNA from 1 species